CGGCCGAUGUCUGAUUAGCUAGUUGGUGGGGUAAAGGCCCACCAAGGCGACGAUCAGUAGCUGGUCUGAGAGGACGAUCAGCCACACUGGGACUGAGACACGGCCCAGACUCCUACGGGAGGCAGCAGUGGGGAAUUUUGGACAAUGGGGGCAACCCUGAUCCAGCAAUGCCGCGUGUGUGAAGAAGGCCUUCGGGUUGUAAAGCACUUUUGUCCGGAAAGUGACGGUACCGGAAGAAUAAGCACCGGCUAACUACGUGCCAGCAGCCGCGGUAAUACGUAGGGUGCGAGCGUUAAUCGGAAUUACUGGGCGUAAAGCGUGCGCAGGCGGUUUUGUAAGACAGGCGUGAAAUCCCCGGGCUUAACCUGGGAAUUGCGCUUGUGACUGCAAGGCUAGAGUGCGUCAGAGGGGGGUAGAAUUCCACGUGUAGCAGUGAAAUGCGUAGAG
rnacentral:rRNA from 1 species